rnacentral:rRNA from 1 species
GAGUUUGAUCAUGGCUCAGGAUGAACGCUAGCGGCAGGCUUAACACAUGCAAGUCGAGGGGUAACAGGGAUUGCUUGCAAUCCGCUGACGACCGGCGCACGGGUGCGUAACGCGUAUGCAACCUACCUUUUACAAGGGGAUAGCCCAGAGAAAUUUGGAAUAAUACCCUAUACGAUCAUUAAUUGGCAUCAAUUAAUGAAGAAAACUCCGGUGGUAAAAGAUGGGCAUGCGUCCUAUUAGUUAGUUGGUAAGGUAACGGCUUACCAAGACUCCGAUAGGUAGGGGUCCUGAGAGGGAGAUCCCCCACACUGGUACUGAGACACGGACCAGACUCCUACGGGAGGCAGCAGUGAGGAAUAUUGGACAAUGGAGGCAACUCUGAUCCAGCCAUGCCGCGUGCAGGAAGACGGCCCUACGGGUUGUAAACUGCUUUUAUACAGGAAGAACUAUAUCUACGUGUAGAUAUUUGACGGUACUGUACGAAUAAGGAUCGGCUAACUCCGUGCCAGCAGCCGCGGUAAUACGGAGGAUCCAAGCGUUAUCCGGAAUCAUUGGGUUUAAAGGGUCCGUAGGCGGUCUAAUAAGUCAGAGGUGAAAUCCUACAGCUCAACUGUAGCAUUGCCUUUGAUACUGUUAGACUUGAGUUAUUGUGAAGUAGUUAGAAUGUGUAGUGUAGCGGUGAAAUGCAUAGAUAUUACACAGAAUACCGAUUGCGAAGGCAGAUUACUAACAAUAUACUGACGCUGAGGGACGAAAGCGUGGGUAGCGAACAGGAUUAGAUACCCUGGUAGUCCACGCCGUAAACGAUGGAUACUAGCUGUUCGAUCAACAUUGGUUGGUUGAGUGGCUAAGCGAAAGUGA